UGGAUUUAAAUGCACUUUAUUUUUAGACAACCCACAUGACAUGUUUUUUUUCCUUAAAAAAACAAUGCCACCACUCCAAAUAAAUCACGGUCAAAAUAAAAGCUCAAGAUGACAUCAGUCCCAUUUGUCCUAAGUCCUGGUGUUGUAUGGAUGGUAAGCAGCAGCCAAUUAUGGUGACAGGUGAUAGAUCCAAUUUGUUAACAUUUCUCCAUCUCUAAGCCAUCCUUAAAGAAAAUCAUGAAUGGAGUCACACCAUCUUCACGGUAGUCCAGGAGAGCAACCAUACCAUCUGGAUUCAUGUUUUCACCAAUAAAAAACUGGUAGUUAUUGAAAUUAGCAAGGAUGUGCUUAAUCUGCUCUGCAGCUCCAGUCAUAAAAGGCUUUACUCUUUCUGGUUUCUGCUCUUCAAGUUUGCCUUUGAGUGAUUUCAUGUAGUCUUUGAUGUACUUUUUGUAAGCCUCUUUUGUGAAGCUGGUUUCUUGUAAGUGAUGGUUCAUGACAAUGUCAACACCGGUGACUACUGUGCUUUCGGUACCUUCGCCCUCCGGACCUUCAGCGGAAGCAUUUCCACCGAUGAGCGAGUCAUCGAUGGCACCCUCUGUUCUACUGACCAUCUUGCCCUCCACCUCCAGGCACAGCCCGUCCGCGAUCUCCCGGAUCUUGUAGAUGUCGGAGAACAGCUCGUCAUGGCUGAUGAGGUCCCGGUAGAUGAUCAUGGUGACGGCUGGGGACGGCGGCGCUAGCCUGACAGCGCGGAAGCGAGCGCGGUGCAGCCGGAGCGGCGCGCGGGGGGAGGGGGGAGCGGGCGGAAAAG
rnacentral:lncRNA from 1 species